rnacentral:rRNA from 1 species
AGGGUUCGAUUAUGGCUCAGAACGUACGCUGGCGGCACGCCUAACACAUGCAAGUCGAACGAAGUAGCAAUACUUAGUGGCAGACGGGUGAGUAACAUGUAGGUAUCUGCCCUUUGGCCUGGAAUAACACGAGGAAACUUGUGCUAAUACCGGAUAAGUCUUUACGGAGAAAGCUUUAUGCACCAUUGGAUGAGCCUGCACUUGAUUAGUUUGUUGGUGGGGUAAUGGCCUACCAAGACUGUGAUCAAUAGCUGAUUUGAGAGGAUGAUCAGCCACAUUGGGACUGAGACACGGCCCAAACUCCUACGGGAGGCAGCAGUGGGGAAUCUUGCACAAUGGAGGAAACUCUGAUGCAGCGAUGCCGCGUGAGUGAAGAAGGCCUUUGGGUUGUAAAGCUCUUUCGUCGGGGAAGAAAAUGACUGUACCCGAAUAAGAAGGUCCGGCUAACUUCGUGCCAGCAGCCGCGGUAAUACGAAGGGACCUAGCGUAGUUCGGAAUUACUGGGCUUAAAGAGUUCGUAGGUGGUUGAAAAAGUUGGUGGUGAAAUCCCAGAGCUUAACUCUGGAACUGCCAUCAAAACUUUUCAGCUAGAGUAUGAUAGAGGAAAGCAGAAUUUCUAGUGUAGAGGUGAAAUUCGUAGAUAUUAGAAAGAAUACCAAUUGCGAAGGCAGCUUUCUGGAUCAUUACUGACACUGAGGAACGAAAGCAUGGGUAGCGAAGAGGAUUAGAUACCCUCGUAGUCCAUGCCGUAAACGAUGUGUGUUAGACGUUGGAAAUUUAUUUUCAGUGUCGCAGCGAAAGCGAUAAACACACCGCCUGGGGAGUACGACCGCAAGGUUAAAACUCAAAUGAAUUGACGGGGACCCGCACAAGUAGUGGAGCAUGUGGUUUAAUUCGAAGAUACGCGCAGAACCUUACCAACACUUGACAUGUUCGUCGCGACUUUAAGAGAUUAAAGUUUUCGGUUCGGCCGGACGAAACACAGGUGCUGCAUGGCUGUCGUCAGCUCGUGUCGUGAGAUGUUGGGUUAAGUCCCGCAACGAGCGCAACCCUCACUUUUAGUUGCCAUCAUUUAGUUGGGCACUCUGAAAGAACUGCCAGUGAUAAGCUGGAGGAAGGUGGGGAUGACGUCAAGUCCUCAUGGCCCUUACGUGUUGGGCUACACACGUGCUACAAUGGUAUCUACAACAGGAAGCAAAACGGCGACGUUAAGCAAAUCCUUAAAAGAUACCUCAGUUCGGAUUGCACUCUGCAACUCGAGUGCAUGAAGCUGGAAUUACUAGUAAUCGUGGAUCAGCGUGCCACGGUGAAUGCGUUCCCGGGUCUUGUACACACCGCCCGUCACACCAUGGGAGUUGGUUCUACCUUAAGGCAAGGUUUAAAACCCUUGACCACGGUAUAGUCAGCGACUGGGGUGAAGUCGUAACAAGGUAACCA